AUCGCUUCUGGCCUUUUGGCUAAGAUCAAGUGUAGUAUCUGUUCUUAUCAGUUUAAUAUCUGAUACGUCCCUCACCUGGGGACCGGGGAUAUUAAAAUGAUUUGGAACAGGGAGAUGGAAUAGGGGCUCGUUCAUUCAUCUGGCACGACUCACCUUGGUAUUGCAGUACUUCCAGGAGCGUGUGUGUGCAC